AUUGAACGCUGGCGGCAGGCCUAACACAUGCAAGUCGAGCGGAUGAAGGGAGCUUGCUCCUGGAUUCAGCGGCGGACGGGUGAGUAAUGCCUAGGAAUCUGCCUGGUAGUGGGGGAUAACGUCCGGACACGGGCGCUAAUACCGCAUACGUCCUGAGGGUGAAAGUGGGGGAUCUUCGGACCUCACGCUAUCUGAUGAGCCUAGGUCGGAUUAGCUAGUUGGUGGGGUAAAGGCCUACCAAGGCGACGAUCCGUAACUGGUCUGAGAGGAUGAUCAGUCACACUGGAACUGAGACACGGUCCAGACUCCUACGGGAGGCAGCAGUGGGGAAUAUUGGACAAUGGGCGAAAGCCUGAUCCAGCCAUGCCGCGUGUGUGAAGAAGGUCUUCGGAUUGUAAAGCACUUUAAGUUGGGAGGAAGGGCAGUAAGUUAAUACCUUGCUGUUUUGACGGUACCAACAGAAUAAGCACCGGCUAACUUCGUG
rnacentral:rRNA from 1 species